rnacentral:rRNA from 1 species
GUGUCAGCAGCCGCGGUAAUACAGAGGGUGCAAGCGUUGUUCGGAUUUACUGGGCGUAAAGGGCGUGUAGGCGGAUCUGCAAGCCGAUGGUGAAAUCCCCGGGCUCAACCCUGGGUGGUCUGUCGGAACUGCAAGUCUAGAGAAAGCCAGAGGCAGGUGGAAUUCCAGGUGUAGAGGUGAAAUUCGUAGAGAUCUGGAGGAACACCGGCGGCGAAGGCGGCCUGCUGGGGCUUUUCUGACGCUGAGGCGCGAAAGCGUGGGGAGCAAACAGGAUUAGAUACCCUGGUAGUCC